rnacentral:rRNA from 1 species
GAUGAACGCUGGCGGCGUGCCUAAUACAUGCAAGUCGAGCGAACAGACGAGGAGCUUGCUCCUCUGACGUUAGCGGCGGACGGGUGAGUAACACGUGGAUAACCUACCUAUAAGACUGGGAUAACUUCGGGAAACCGGAGCUAAUACCGGAUAAUAUAUUGAACCGCAUGGUUCAAUAGUGAAAGACGGUUUUGCUGUCUCUUAUAGAUGGAUCCGCGCCGCAUUAGCUAGUUGGUAAGGUAACGGCUUACCAAGGCAACGAUGCGUAGCCGACCUGAGAGGGUGAUCGGCCACACUGGAACUGAGACACGGACAAGAAUACUACGGGAGGCAGCAGUAGGGAAUCUUCCGCAAUGGGCGAAAGCCUGACGGAGCAACGCCGCGGGAGUGAUGAAGGUCUUCGGAUCGUAAAACUCUGUUAUUAGGGAAGAACAAAUGUGUAAGUAACUAUGCACGUCUUGACGGUACCUAAUCAGAAAGCCACGGCUAACUACGUG